GCCACCUGUUGAUGUUGAUCUGCUGAGAGGCUGAGACACCACCGAAUUCUCUACUUCUCGCGUGUUAGUUUGUUUGCCGAGCAGAAACAGAUACAGGCUGAGUGAGGGAUAGAGAGGUGUUUGUUUAUGGUUGUUUGCUCGAUCUGUGAAGAAAGGCCUAUGGUUGAAAUCAAUUCCCUCAAGGUAUUGUUAAACCCAUCCAUGGUGUUCAGUUGGUAAUUUCAAUUUGGUUUGUAAGGUCGGGUUACCUCCACGUCGCUCAGCUCGCAGAAGGGCUUGCAUUUUGAACCGUUCGAUUCAAAACCAUAGGGAAAGAAUGCGGCAGAGUGCUCGGUUAAUGAUUGGGUUUGCUGACUGCGGUGCAUAAAGACUACUUUACUAUAUAUAUGAUAUCAAAAGCGGGUGUUGAAUCCCAGCCUGAAGGUAGAGAGCUGGGAUGCUUCUGAUUGUUGGUAUACAUAUCGUUUGCGUUAUUUCUACAAAAGGUGCAAUUAAAUUUGGGUGUAAAAAUAAAAUGCCCCUUACACUAAUAUGUCUACUGGAGCAAGGGACAACUUCCAAAACCAGUUUUCGGUUGGAAGCCAAGAUAGUGGCAGCAUCCAUUCAUUUUAUGAUGUCGCUGCUAAUCCACCUGACAAACAAGCAUCAGGAUCAAAAUCUGAAGAGAAGUGGGAGCAUCGCAGCUAAAAUCAGACAAGAGGAAGCAGUUAAUGUUACAAGGUGCAGUUGAUAAUGGGCGCAUGAAUAAUUUACUUGGAUGUGAGUUGCAAGCUGGGACAAGUAAAAUUGGCCCAGCCUCAUAUCAAAAAAGUAUUCAAGGUCAUUAAUCCGUUUUUAAUGAACAGUUGAAGACUCAGCUGAAGACUUGAUGUAAAUAGUUACCAGCCUUCACAUGUUUUGGCCAAGCCUAACCAUUUUUUGCACAAUGUACAUAAACAACUACUUGGUUAGCAUGUGUAUUUUUGGAAAUCUGGCUAAAAUACCAGAUUUGGAAUCUGGAAAAGGCACCCGAUUUUUUGGUUAGCAUGUAGUCUUUGACAUAUGGCUAAGAUACCAGAUUUGGAAUCUGGUAUACUGUAGCUUCGAUGUAAAUUCAAUGA